rnacentral:rRNA from 1 species
UACGGGGGGGCUAGCGUUGUUCGGAAUUACUGGGCGUAAAGGGCGCGUAGGCGGUCUGCUAAGUUGGAUGUGAAAACUCUGGGCUUAACCCAGAGCCUGCAUUCAAUACUGACAGGCUAGAGUUCUGGAGGGGAUAGCGGAAUUCCUGGUGUAGCGGUGAAAUGCGCAGAUAUCAGGAAGAACACCCGUGGCUAAGGCGGCUCUCUAGUACGGUACUGGACGCUGAGACGCGAAAGCGUGGGGAGCGAACAGG